rnacentral:lncRNA from 1 species
AGAGAUGCUCGCUCCUCUUGCUGUCUGCCACCAGUACGCAGGGAACUCAAGAGCAAGAGUGACCCCCACCCCAAGAAACAAGUGUCCUCAGGAAGGUUCCUUCCGAGAAGGAAUGAAGACAGAGAAGCCCAGGGCAUCACUGGGACCUUAGUGAACCUGAUAUUCAUGUGGAAAUCUGCAUAAUAAAAAAAUCACUGUAAUACA